GGGGUGCUAGCUCAUGGCAGGAAGCUGGGAAGCUGGAAGACUUUCAUUUGCUCUUGCCUCUGAUUUCAGGGUUGGUGUGCCACUGCCUUCUUCCUCGUGAAUCUCCAGCAUCAGUCCAGAGAGAACCCAAGCCCAGGACCAUUUUGCCCCCACUUCACAUUGCAUCCCUUGGUGACUUCAGCCACCUCUGCCUGCAUUCAUCCACAGGACAGGCUCUGAUCCCAGAAGUGAUGUCCAGAGCUGCUGCAACCAUAUGGUUCAUGGUACUGAUUUCUACUGAUGGAUACCUGGAGCUCUGGUUAGGACCCCUGAACUGGAGUUUUUAUAGGCCUAGGAAAGUGACAUUCAAAUCAUCCAGCCUCACACUGAACACUAAUAUAUGCUUCAUAACAACUCGAAGGAACAAGAUGGUUUAACUUCUCUCACUUGUCCAAGAGUCUGGUUAGGGAACUAUUCAAGGGUC
ensembl:lncRNA